GAUCCUGGCUCAGGAUGAACGCUAGCUACAGGCUUAACACAUGCAAGUCGAGGGGCAGCAUUGGGAUAGCUUGCUAUUCAGAUGGCGACCGGCGCACGGGUGAGUAACGCGUAUCCAACCUUCCUGCCAGUAGGGAACAGCCCGGCGAAAGUCGGAUUAAUGCCCUAUGUUCUUCAAUGCGGACAUCUAAGUUGAAGGAAAGAUUCAUCGCUGGCAGAUGGGGAUGCGUCCGAUUAGCUUGCCGGCGGGGUAACGGCCCACCGGGGCGACGAUCGGUAGGGGUUCUGAGAGGAAGGUCCCCCACACUGGUACUGAGACACGGACCAGACUCCUACGGGAGGCAGCAGUGAGGAAUAUUGGUCAAUGGGCGUAAGCCUGAACCAGCCAAGUAGCGUGCAAGGAUGACGGCCCUACGGGUUGUAAACUGCUUUUAUGCGGGGAUAAAGUGCGGCACGUGUGCCGCUUUGCAGGUACCGCAUGAAUAAGGACCGGCUAAUUCCGUGCCAGCCGCGGC
rnacentral:rRNA from 1 species